GACGAACGCUGGCGGCGUGCUUAACACAUGCAAGUCGAGCGGAAAGGCCCUUCGGGGUACUCGAGCGGCGAACGGGUGAGUAACACGUGAGUAACCUGCCCCAGACUUUGGGAUAACCCUCGGAAGCGGGGGCUAAUACCGGAUACGACACAGCUUCGCAUGGGGUCUGUGUGGAAAGUUUUUCGGUUUGGGAUGGGCUCGCGGCCUAUCAGCUUGUUGGUGGGGUGAUGGCCUACCAAGGCGACGACGGGUAGCCGGCCUGAGAGGGCGACCGGCCACACUGGGACUGAGACACGGCCCAGACUCCUACGGGAGGCAGCAGUGGGGAAUAUUGCACAAUGGGCGGAAGCCUGAUGCAGCGACGCCGCGUGAGGGAUGACGGCCUUCGGGUUGUAAACCUCUUUCAGCAGGGACGAAGCGUAAGUGACGGUACCUGCAGAAGAAGCGCCGGCCAACUACGUG
rnacentral:rRNA from 1 species